rnacentral:rRNA from 1 species
CACGUAGGCGGAUAUUUAAGUCAGGGGUGAAAUCCCAGAGCUCAACUCUGGAACUGCCUUUGAUACUGGGUAUCUUGAGUAUGGAAGAGGUAAGUGGAAUUCCGAGUGUAGAGGUGAAAUUCGUAGAUAUUCGGAGGAACACCAGUGGCGAAGGCGGCUUACUGGCCCAUUACUGACGCUGAGGUGCGAAAGCGUGGGGAGCAAACA